ACGGGUGUAGCUCAAUUGGUAGAGUAGCGGUCUCCAAAACCGUUGGUUGGGAGUUCGAGUCUCUCCUCCCGUGCAA
rnacentral:tRNA from 2 species